rnacentral:rRNA from 1 species
GAUCAUGGCUCAGAUUGAACGCUGGCGGCAGGCCUAACACAUGCAAGUCGAACGGUAACAGGAAACAGCUUGCUGUUUCGCUGACGAGUGGCGGACGGGUGAGUAAUGUCUGGGAAACUGCCUGAUGGAGGGGGGAUAACUACUGGAAACGGUAGCUAAUACCGCAUAACGUCGCAAGACCAAAGAGGGGGGACCCUUCGGGCCUCUUGCCAUCGGAUGUGCCCAGAUGGGAUUAGCUAGUAGGG